rnacentral:rRNA from 1 species
GAUGAACGCUGGCUAUGGGCCUAAUACAUGCAAGUCGAGCGAACGGACGAGUAUGUGGUUUCUCUGAUGGUAGCGGCGGACGGGCGAGUAACAGUUGGAUAACCCACCUAUAAGACUUACAUAGCGUCGGGAAACCGGAGCUAAGACCGGUAGAUAUUGUAAACCGUUUGUUUCAAAAGUGAUAAACGGUCGUGCUGUCGCUAAUAGAUGGAGCCGCGAUGCAUUAGCUAGUUGGUAAGGUAACGGCUUACCAAGGCAACGAUGCAUAGCGGACCUGAGAGGGUGAUCGGCCACACCGGAACUGAGACACGGUCCAGACUCAUACGGGAGGCAGCAGUAGGGAAUCUUCCGCAAUGGGCGAAAGCCUGACGGAGAAAAGCCGCGUGAGUGAUGAAGGUCUUCGGAUAGUAAAACUCUGCUAUUAGGGAAGAACAUAUGUGUAAGUAACUGUGCACAUAUUGACGGUACCUAAUCAGAAAGCCACGGCUAACUACGUG